UCUUAACCGUGCAAAGGUAGCAUAAUCAAUUGUUCUUUAAAUAAGGACUAGUAUGAACGGCAUCACGAGGGUUUAACUGUCUCCCUAUUUUAAUCAAUGAAAUUGAUCUUCCCGUGAAGAAGCGGGGAUAUAAUUAUAAGACGAAAAGACCCCAUGGAGCUUCAAACUUACUUUUAAUUACCAAAAUCCAAAACAUAUACCUGGUAAAUAUAAUAAUUGUUUUCGGUUGGGGCGACCCUGGAGAAAAAUUAAUCCUCCAAGCUGAAUAGACAAAAAUCUAAUGUUAGAGUAACAACUCAAACAAUCAAAACCUUGACAAAAUGACCCAGAAUUCAUCUGAUCAACGAACCAAGUUACCCUGGGGAUAACAGCGCAAUCCAUUUCAAGAGCCCAUAUCGACAAAUGGGUUUACGACCUCGAUGUUGGAUCGGGGUAUCCUAGCAGCGCAGCCGUUGCUUAAGGUUCGUUUGUUCAACGAUUAAUAACCCCACGUGAUCU
rnacentral:rRNA from 1 species